CGAAAGUGUGUAUGUUAACGAGAUCAUAACGGCACGCGCCCCGAAGAGCAGCUCAACAGCUAUUUGAGAGCAUAUGAACAAGCUUUACGUGAAGAGCAAACACUCGAGAGAGUAAACUGCGAGGCGACCGGUAAGUUUAAAAGAAUCAUGUUUAAAAUAUAUAUACACACCUCACGUCAAAAAAUAAAUACUAAGUUCUCUAUUCUCUAAAAAAAAAA